CCCCCAAUGGCAGAUCAGUUGGUAGCGCAUGAGAUUCAUAAUCUCAGGGUCAUAGGUUCAAGACCCACGUGGGGCA